CCUUGCGCUCACUGUCCACGAUGGCGUCCCCAUGCCUUUCCAGCUGCCCCCAGGCGUCUCCAACGAAGCCCAGUUUGUGUUCACCAUCCAGAGCAUCGUCAUGGCACAGAAGCUCAAGGGGACCCUGUCCUUCAUUGCCAAGAACGACGAGGGUGCGACCCAGGAGAAGCUGGAUUUCAGGCUGCACUUCAGCUGCAGCUCCUACUUGAUCACCACGCCCUGCUACAGCGACGCCUUUGCCAAGUUGCUGGAGUCUGGGGACCUGAGCAUGAGCUCAGUCAAAGUCGACGGCAUUCGGAUGUCCUUCCAGAACCUUCUGGCGAAGAUCUGUUUUCACCAUAAUUUUUCUGUUAUGGAGCGAGUGGACUCCUGCGCCUCCAUGUACAGCAGCUCCAUCCAGGGCCACCACGUCUGCCUCCUGGUGAAAAAGGGUGAGAACUCUUUCUCAGUCGAUGGGAAGUGCAGCGACUCCACACUGCUUAGCAACUUGUUAGAAGAGAUGAAGGCGAUGCUGGCCAAGUGUUGAGAGCUGCCUGCGAGCCCUGCCCACCCCGCGGAGCACGCGCCCAGGGACCGCAGCCCUGAGUCUCACCUCUCAUCGGUUGUGUGUACUGUACCCAAGCCUGAGUGUUAAUUUAACUCCAUGUCGUCCUCUGUGUAGACACUGGAAGUCAUAUGUUGCGUUAAAUUACCUGACCAUCCUUUUUUACUGUGACUCUUCCCGCUCUCUUUGGCAAGAAGUCCCCUUCUUGUCCCCAAAUCAGCAAGGGACUCCCCUGCCUGGGUCCAUGCCCUGCCCUGUGCUGGGGGCCAAGUCCUUGAAUGUGGCUUCAGGGGCUCCUGGCCUGGGCCAGGACCUUAUGGGCACCACGUGGGGGGCACUUGGUGGACAGGGUGGGACUGACAUGGCCUUCUCUGGGGCUGCCUGUUUUUGUCCCAAACACCUUGACGGUGGUGUCCAGGGGACGGGAAGGAAGGGCCGUUGUCGCCAAGGUUCCCUCCCAGAACCCGCAGUGGGAAAGCAGUCCUGUCGGCCAUUGUUCCUUGUCACUGUGCUCGUGGGCUGGUGGCCAGACCCUGGGAUGCCAGGCUGUGGGCAAGGAGGGGACGGGGCACCCAGAGAGGCUGCAGUCAGAACCAUGGCGGGGUUGGAGGCAGCCUCUCUGCCACCAUUCUUCCUGGUCAGCAGAAGUGUCUCUCAGAGGGCUUGGGUUCGGGGUGGGGGCAUGUGGUCACGGUCUACCGCUUGCCACUGUAUGCGCCACGGUUGCCCCGCGUCCUUCCCAGCACCCUCAGGAAGGCCCGGGCAGGGACUGGGAGCAGCAGACCCAGGCCUUUGGCCUGGCGUGGAGUGUGCCCAGUGCCCUUGGCAGGACCUGUGAGAGCUGCCCCACCGGCAGAGCCCCCACCAGGUAAGCAGGGGGACCCCGCUCACUCCCCACAGCCAGUGUGGGCACAGGACUGACCCUUCCUCAGAGAUGAAAUUUUAUCUUUCCUUUUGAUGAAAACUGUCACUUUAGCAUGUAAUCUGUUACAGAAUCCUGUGCAGUGAUUCUAGGAUUUGAAAUUGUAUGAUGUGUUACAUAAGAAUUUAUUUGCUAUCGACAUUCCUGUAUAAAGAAGAGAGAGACAUAAUCACGCUGCUGUCAUGAUUUUGUGUCAAGAUGAUCCAAUAAAGUUGUAAAACAGGCAAAAAAAAAAAAA